UGUAGCAAUACCGCACUGAUCCGGGUAUGGUCCGACACCUCUUGAAGGUUAAUAUAGGAUCUCCAUACUCUACUCCGACUCAAUACGUCCAUGGCGUACAUAACGGUAACAUAUCUCUCCAAUAAUCUGAGCUUGGGUACACGAGGAAACCCAAACCCUUGGGAGGAUGGGUUAUACGGCUAAAUUAGGCGAG
rfam:Anopheles merus strain MAF unplaced genomic scaffold supercont2.434, whole genome shotgun sequence.